UACGGGGGGAGCAAGCGUUGUUCGGAUUUACUGGGCGUAAAGGGCGCGUAGGCGGCGCAACAAGUCACUUGUGAAAUCUCCGGGCUUAACCCGGAGCGGCCAAGUGAUACUGUCGUGCUAGAGUGCGGAAGGGGCUACUGGAAUUCUCGGUGUAGCGGUGAAAUGCGUAGAUAUCGAGAGGAACACCUGCGGCGAAGGCGGGUCUCUGGGCCGUAACUGACGCUGAGGCGCGAAAGCUAGGGGAGCAGACGGG
rnacentral:rRNA from 1 species